CCCGCCUCCCCCCUUCGCUCCUGCCCCUUCCUCGCCUCUCCUCUCUAUCUUCUGCGGCGGCGGCGCCGACUCCGCGUGAUUCCUCCUCCUCUGCUCGACUCCUCCUCCUCCCCCCUGAUUAGGGUUUCAGACGGCGGCGGCGCCCUCCACCGUCUGGUCUUUCCCCGCGCCCUCUUCAUCCUUCAGUGCCGCCUCCAGGUCACCGUCGCCGUCGCCCCUACGAACUCCGAGCACGCACGCGUGAGGCCUCCACCACCACCCACCGCAAUACCCCCGGUCCCUCCCUCUCUCCUGUCGUCUCUAACUCCCACCACCCAUUGGUUUUUUCGCCUCCCAACCCGCAGAACGACUGCGGCUCCUCUCUCGAUAGAACUACACCCUCGAUCUAUCUCCUAGGGCGUGUACGCCGCAGCCAUCGCGGAACUCUACGCCGCCAACGUCUUGCUACUCCGCCGACCGCCGCCGCGAACUCCGAGACCGCCGCCGCCGCCAUUGUGGAACCCCAGGCCACGGCAUUCUCAGAUUCCCAUGUGCGGCCGGUGGAGCAUGUGAGGCGAGCGCUUUAAUCAAAUCCAGGUUCCUAUGUCCGUUCAUAUAUACUACGAGUAUGAUACUGAUGGAUCAUCUGAUAUAAAAAUCUUCAUUCACUAAUGCAUAUGCGUUCAUUGUUAUUGCGAGGGAUACAAUUUUUGGAGAAGGGAUGGAGAUGGUGCCAUGGUGGAGGCUGCUGCCCAUCUAUGUGCUUGUCGAGUCAGACAUGCCCCUCUACAGGAAGUACCUCUCCCGGUACUACAUCAGCAAUCCUCCCGAAUCCAUCGAUGUGCAGCAGAUCGUGACGCCAUCCGCAUGGACGAACGAGAAUGGCCGCUUGAUUCCUCUUGCCCACUUGUGUCACGAGAUGGAGACCAAGCUCAUGGCUCAGUGCGGCCAGAGGCACAAUCAACAAUUGACUGACAUUGACUCACAGUGAGAUAGAACUAAGUAACAAAAUCAAGAUGCGUGCGUACGACAUCAUAGCUGGAAAGGCGAAUGUUUCGGUGUGUAUGCCGCUGCCACUGAUCUUAUGAAACGAUGCAUGGUUAAUCUGAAGUGUAUCGCCAAAGAGGCAGAGUUGAUGUGCGAGCAUAUGUGCAUGUGUACUUGUGUGUGUUAGCAGGCAGGAGCCCACCGCCGUGCCCGCCGGCGGCAUCGCCCAUGGCCGAGAAGACCGAGGACACCGAGGACCCAACGCCCUCAAGUACGAUGGCGUUGCACCGUCCUUUCUGCUGCGACUUAUGUUGACAAGUUUUGAGAUCGAUCUCAAUCUACAUAUGACCGUGAUCGGGAGGCGAACCCGGUUGCGCUUAGAGACAGUUGAAUAAUGGAGAUCCUCCAGCCACCGAGCUCCUCAAGGACACCUAAGGUGAGAAAUCCACGUUUUUUCAUACUGCUUGACGUUUAGGCCGAGCAGCCUGGUGAACUUCGACCCCAUCCAACCUCAUUUCGGCCACCACGUGGCUCCCCUCCCCACCUCACCCCGUCCAACGCAGUGCCUUCGUGCUAAGAGUUCAAGGGACUGUCCCCUCUCACCUAAGACAAGGUACAGUUUUUGAUCUUUCUUACACAUUUCUUCUGCUCAUGUACUAAUGUAAAGGUUUCACAAGGUAUGUUGGUUAUGUGGGCAUUCGUAUGAAGUUAUGUGAGCAUGCGCUAGGUAUGAAAAGUUUUGUUUUAGUUGAUUGACAUUGAGGAUUAAAAACCUUAAAUGUGCCAUCAUGUUUUUAGGCGGUGUGCUCCAGGUUUGGCAAAUAUUAACUAACACUACAUGAACAUGAAGAUAAUCUUGGUGCCGGGCAAGCCUCACAUAGAGGUACAAUAUUCUUGGCAUAUCAAUAAUCCGAUUUAAUUAAUGUUGUUUGCCGAUGUUGCUACCCUGUCUAAGUCAUGAGAGAAUAUUUCUGGUCAUGGUAUAAUUGGAUGCAAUUUUGUAUGGAGGAAUCAAUAGUGAAGAAUUCUAUCAAGCAUUUAACACUGUUCUAUGUGAAUGUACACUGGAAGGUUAUAUAUGUUCUCACCAAUCUCUUUCUGUAUUAUUGUUUUUGUUGAUUGCCAAAAUGCUUUCCUGUAUUCAUGUGUUACCCAGUUGUCCGAUCAUUUUAUUCAACACAACUUGGUGCGGGCUUGGAAAACUGUAGUGCCUUUUACGAGAGCAUACAAUGCACUCAAAUAGGAAUAUCACUAAAUAUCGGUUAGAUGCCAAUCAUGACCUUGAUUUCAAAUUUCAUCUUUGUGAAGAGAAGUUUUCUCUUCCAAUAAUUAUGGCCACUUUGUAACGCUUGUUUGCAUAAAGGGUUCCAGUUGGUCAAGUGUUUGGCCAUGUAAUUUUCAUUCUUUGCUUUAAUUGAGCAGAGAUGAAGGAAGAGUAGCAACAACAGUAAGAUUGAUGAAAUGAUACAUAUAUGUGACCAAUCAGACUUGAUUUUGGACUCUAGCAACUACCCUUCUAAGCAAGCAUGCUUGGCGUUUGAUGCAGAUUUUUUUCAUAUGUACAAUUACUCUAUUUGAAGGAAUACUGGGAUAUUAAAGAUAAGUUGACUAUAGGCUGGUUAGAGUUUAUUUUGCAACAGAGGAACAUGGCAAAUUAAACCAAGUAGCAGGAUAUAUUUUACUGUUUGCUUUAAUUCAUGGUGGAAAUUGCUUAUGAAUUAGUUGAGAUAUGCAAGGGCAUGCUUCCUGCAAUUUUAUUGGAUGGUACGGUGUUAGGCUCACAAUGUAUGUUAAUAUAAAUGGUCCUUUAUUCAGCAUACCUCUUUCUUCA